rnacentral:rRNA from 1 species
GACGAACGCUGGCGGCGUGCCUAAUACAUGCAAGUCGAACGCAGUGGGGACGGGUGAGUAACACGUGGGUAACCUCCCAUCAGAGGGGAUAACACUUGGAAACAGGUGCUAAACCGAUACUGAUGGAUGGACCCGAGGUGCAUUAGCGUGUUGGUGAGGUAACGGCUCACCAAGGCCACGAGGCAUAGCCGUCCGCAGAGGGGGAUCGGCCAAACUGGGGCUGAUCCACGGCCCAGCCUCCUACGGGAGGCAGCAGUAGGGAAGCUUCGGCAAUGGACGAAAGUCUGACCGAGCAACGCCGCGUUAGUGAAGAAGGUUUUCGGAUCGUAAAACUCUGUUGUUAGAGAAGCGGUAUCUAACCAGAAAGCCACGGCUAACUACGUGCCAGCAGCCGCGGUAAUUC